rnacentral:rRNA from 1 species
ACGAACGCUGGCGGCGUGCCUAAUACAUGCAAGUAGAACGCUGAAGGAGGAGCUUGCUUCUCUGGAUGAGUUGCGAACGGGUGAGUAACGCGUAGGUAACCUGCCUGGUAGCGGGGGAUAACUAUUGGAAACGAUAGCUAAUACCGCAUAAUAGUAGAUGUUGCAUGACAUUUGCUUAAAAGGUGCAAUUGCAUCACUACCAGAUGGACCUGCGUUGUAUUAGCUAGUUGGUGGGGUAACGGCUCACCAAGGCGACGAUACAUAGCCGACCUGAGAGGGUGAGCGGCCACACUGGGACUGAGACACGGCCCAGACUCCUACGGGAGGCAGCAGUAGGGAAUCUUCGGCAAUGGACGGAAGUCUGACCGAGCAACGCCGCGUGAGGGAAGAAGGUUUUCGGAUCGUAAGGCUCUGUUGUAAGAGAAGAACGAGUGUGAGAGUGGAAAGUUCACACUGUGACGGUAUCUUACCAGAAAGGGACGGCUAACUACGUG